rnacentral:rRNA from 1 species
CGAGGGGCAUCAGUUUGGUUUGCUUGCAACCAAAGCUGGCGACCGGCGCACGGGUGAGUAACACGUAUCCAACCUGCCUCAUACUCGGGGAUAGCCUUUCGAAAGAAAGAUUAAUAUCCGAUAGCAUAUAUUUCCCGCAUGGGUUUUAUAUUAAAGAAAUUCGGUAUGAGAUGGGGAUGCGUUCCAUUAGUUUGUUGGCGGGGUAACGGCCCACCAAGACUACGAUGGAUAGGGGUUCUGAGAGGAAGGUCCCCCACAUUGGAACUGAGACACGGUCCAAACUCCUACGGGAGGCAGCAGUGAGGAAUAUUGGUCAAUGGACGCGAGUCUGAACCAGCCAAGUAGCGUGAAGGAUGACUGCCCUAUGGGUUGUAAACUUCUUUUAUAUGGGAAUAAAGUGGUCCACGUGUGGA